rnacentral:rRNA from 1 species
CCUACGGGAGGCAGCAGUCGGGAAUAUUGCGCAAUGGAGGAAACUCUGACGCAGUGACACCGCGUGCAGGAAGAAGGUUUUCGGAUUGUAAACUGCUUUAGACAGGGAAGAAAAAAGACAGUACCUGUAGAUUAAGCUCCGGCUAACUACGUGCCAGCAGCCGCGGUAAUACGGAGGGGGCGAGCGUUAUCCGGAUUUAUUGGGUGUAAAGGGUGCGUAGACGGAGUAGCAAGUUAGUUGUGAAAUCCAUCGGCUUAACCGAGGAACUGCAACUAAAACUACUUCCCUUGAGUACUGGAGAGGUGAGCGGAAUUCCUGGUGUAGCGGUGAAAUGCGUAGAUAUUAGGAGGAACACCAGUGGCGAAGGCAGCUUUCUGGACAGCAACUGACGUUGAGGCACGAAAGUGUGGGGAGCAAACAGGAUUAGAUACCCGAGUAGUC